rnacentral:antisense_RNA from 1 species
CUUGAUCGAGCCCAGCCACAGCGGCUCGUCGUCGGUGCGGGCUUGGCCGUAGGCCGCGAGCAGGGCCUGGGCUUC